GACGAACGCUGGCGGCGUGCUUAACACAUGCAAGUCGAACGGAAAGGCCCUGCUUGCAGGGUACUCGAGUGGCGAACGGGUGAGUAACACGUGGGUGAUCUGCCCUGCACUUCGGGAUAAGCCUGGGAAACUGGGUCUAAUACCGGAUAGGAGCCAUUUUUAGUGUGAUGGUUGGAAAGUUUUUUCGGUGUAGGAUGAGCUCGCGGCCUAUCAGCUUGUUGGUGGGGUAAUGGCCUACCAAGGCGGCGACGGGUAGCCGGCCUGAGAGGGUGGACGGCCACAUUGGGACUGAGAUACGGCCCAGACUCCUACGGGAGGCAGCAGUGGGGAAUAUUGCACAAUGGGCGCAAGCCUGAUGCAGCGACGCCGCGUGGGGGAUGACGGCCUUCGGGUUGUAAUCUCCUUUCGCUAGGGACGAAGCUUUUUGUGACGGUACCUAGAUAAGAAGCACCGGCUAACUACGUG
rnacentral:rRNA from 1 species